rnacentral:lncRNA from 1 species
UCAUUUUGUUAUGUUGACCAGUUUGCGUUACAAGUUGCAGAUCCGAAUUCGAGAAGCCUUCUAGAAGAUGAAAAUCCAGGCAAUAGUUCUACUCCAAACUUUUGGUGUCAGAACUACCUUUAAAGGAUCCAAGUUCAACUCAAAGAAAGUAUGCAAAGUUAUUCUGAAGAUUAUGCUCAUUUAUGGACAAGCUCGAUGUUCAUAGCAAGGUAUAUUAUUUCACCAAGUAACCACUCAGCUCAUCUCAAAACACUGUAACUCAUCACAAAACACAUCAAUACAUAUGUUAGAUACUUUACUCCUUUUAACAUUGGAACACAAAUUUUGCUGUUGUGUAUAUAAGGAGUAUUCUAAGACUUUGCAUUGUUACUUGUUAGAGGCGGUGGUGCCUUCCCCACAUGGACAUUGAAGUAUGUGUGCAAACUGCAAAUAAUUUCAAGUUGAACAGUUUAAACGUCCUAUGUUGGGUCUUAAUAAAAUUGCUUAUUCAAAAAAGGCCUUGUUCUUUGAAGAUGUGGCAUUAGGAGAGCUUUGUUGAAGGCAAUAGGUUUAACAAGAAGUUCUGAAGACUGGUACUUAUGCUUCUACUAUAAAUUUGGCAAAUUUUGCAUCACAUGAGCCUAACUGUCCAUGUGAGGAUGGUCUAUUAUCAUGGCAGAAUCAAUCUUGAAAUGUUGUCCACUUGGGCCCCAUGUGCAUUUUCAUAUUACCCCAUGGUAUGCGUUGGAAUAUUAGGGAACACCACAUUAUACACUAUACACUAAUGAACACAGUUAUAUUUGAUCAGUUUUAAGAAAUUUCCUAGUUUGAGAUCUUGAUCUUGAUUGUGUGAAAGUUCUUACUUUUCUCUGUGAAAAUCUGAAUUUAUAGGAUCUGUACAAUAUAUCUUAUUAUCUUGAAAACCCUGAUCUCUCCUAGUACAUUUCUGAAAGGAAUAAAGAGGCAAAAAGUUUACCUCUUAUAUACACAAGAAUGUUCAGUAAUGUGACUUUCAGAUUUGGCCCAUAGAAGAAGUGGACAUCAAUUAAAUGGUUUGGAUUGAUAGCUACAGACAGUAACUUGUGCCAAAAGAGGCAAAGACCAGUAGUUCCUUUGUCAUGUAUGUUUGUUGUUAACAAGAAACGAUCAAACCAACAAACUUGUUGAAUUGAAACUAAUUUUAUAGUUCUUUGCUUCUGGGUAAAGCUUUGAAAUGUGCUUAUCAACCACCAUAUGCAAGUAUGCAACAAGCUUGUCCCACUGCCCACCAUAGUAAUUAUAUGAACAGAUUAAAUCAUUUUUAUCGAUCGAACUUUUUUUUUAUUUUGGUAGAUACUCCUAAAUGAUAUCAUCGAUCAAUGUCAAACGGGUGUAUUUUAAGAUUAUGAUUCACAUGAAUAAUGUGAAAAACAUGAUCUACAACAAUAAUUGCACUGUAUCAGUGUAUGCAAGUGAGGUGCAUAGAAGAAUGUUUCUGCUAAAAUUUUGCUGGUGCGUUUUAUUAUUUUUCUUAACUUUUUAUUAUCAUUAUUUCUGCUCAUCAUCAACUUAUUAAUAAUUUGUUUACAAUGUCCUACCAUUUGUCUUGCUAAUAGUAAUAUGAUUGUUAUAUUUUGUGAAACAGACCCUCGUGCAACUUCUGCCAACUGCCACCAUUAUUAGUGAGUAAUCACCAUCGGUGCUUCUUAAUCAAAAGAUUAUCUUAUUAAAUACAAUAUGAAAGGUGUAUUAUGGAAUUUGUCUUUGUCUCUUUAGUAUGCAACUUGGUCUUCCACCUCAUUAG